GACGUAGGGCGCGAGCGUUUGUCCGGAUUUAUUGGGCGUAAAGAGCUCGUAGGCGGUCUGUCGCGUCGGCUGUGAAAACCCGGGGCUCAACCCCGGGCCUGCAUUCGAUACGGGCAGACUAGAGUUCGGUAGGGGAGUCUGGAAUUCCUGGUGUAGCGGUGAAAUGCGCAGAUAUCAGGAGGAACACCGGUGGCGAAGGCGGGACUCUGGGCCGAUACUGACGCUGAGGAGCGAAAGCGUGGGGAGCAAACAGG
rnacentral:rRNA from 1 species